rnacentral:snoRNA from 1 species
GCCGUGAUGAAACACACAAUGCCGUCUGAAAAUUCUUUCAUGUGGAAAACCAGAGGCUGUUUCUGAGCUU